CGUGAGUGAUGAAGGCUUUCGGGUCGUAAAGCUCUGUCAAGUGGGAAGAAUUCAUAUGGUGUUAAUGUCGCCAUGUGCUGACGGUACCACUGAAGGAAGCACCGGCUAACUCCGUGCCAGCAGCCGCGGUAAUACGGGGGGUGCGAGCGUUAUUCGGAAUUACUGGGCGUAAAGAGCGCGUAGGCGGUCUUUUAAGUCAGGUGUGAAAGCCCGGGGCUCAACCCCGGAAGUGCACUUGAAACUAAGAGACUUGAGUAUGGGAGAGGGAAGUGGAAUUCCUGGUGUAGCGGUGAAAUGCGUAGAUAUCAGGAGGAACAUCAGUGGCGAAGGCGACUUCCUGGACCAAUACUGACGCUGAGGCGCGAAGGCGUGGGGAGCAAACAGGAUUAGAUACCCUGGUAGUCCACGCAGUAAACGGUGAACACUAGGUGUAGCGGGUAUUGACCCCUGCUGUGCCGCAGCAAACGCAUUAA
rnacentral:rRNA from 1 species